GGGCGUCGCGACGCUGAGCUGGAACGCGACGGCCUUCCUGCGUGGCCACGAGCUCCGCCCGGAGGACAACCAGCGGGUGGGCGCGCUGCGCCUCGACGCACCGGCGGGACUUGCGCUCACCGGAGGCACAGAGCCACGCUACAUUUCUGCUGUUUCGGAUGGCAGGGAAAGUUACAAAUUCACACAGUUCUUCAGGGUUAUUAACGCUGGCGCGUACCGUCUGCAGAGUUUCAACUUCAGCUUGCAUUUACCUCUGGGGCUUGACUACGAAGGGCGGCAGUACGGUGGGAUCCACUACGAAACGCCGAAG